AAAGAGAGUGAAACAGCACGUGAAAUUGUUGAAAGGGAAGGGUAUUGGGCCCGACAUGGGGAGUGCGCACCGCUGUCUCUUGUAGGCGGCGCUCUGGGCGCUCUCUGGGCCAGCAUCGGUUCUUGCUGCGAGAGAAGUGGCGCCGGAAAGUGGCUCUCGUCCUUAGGUGACACUGCGGGAAUACUUCCAGCUGGGACUGCAGCCUGCGACGU
rnacentral:rRNA from 1 species